rnacentral:rRNA from 1 species
CCUACGGGUGGCAGCAGUCGAGAAUCAUGCACAAUGGGGGAAACCCUGAUGGGGCGACGCCGCGUGGGGGAAGGAAGGUCUCCGGAUGGUAAACCCCUGUCAUGUGGGAGCAAAUUAAAAAGAUAGUACCACAAGAGGAAGAGACGGCUAACUCUGUGCCAGCAGCCGCGGGAAGACAGAGGUCGCAAGCGGUGUUCGGAAUCACGGGGCGUAAAGUGUGCGGAGGCGGUUGCGCAAGUCGUGUGUGAAAGGCCCGGGCUCAACCCGCGGACGGCACAUGAUACUGCGAGACUAGAGUAAUGGAGGGGCGACCGGAAUUCUCGGUGUAGCCGU